GCAGGUGCAGCCUUAAAAAGACAAUAAAUAAAUAAAUAAAUAAAUAAAUUGCUCCAAUUCCUAUGAAGGAUAAAAUAGUAAAAAUUGCUGGUUUAAACCUAACAGAGGGUCAUGAAGAAGUCAGUAAAGCCAAAGGAGUGACUGCAGGUGUCACUGGGCAGUUUGGCCUAAAUGACGUCCCACGAUUUUAGGGCCACAACACAUGACAGGGUUCAGCAGGAAUGUUGGGUCAGAUUUUCCCUUGCUGCACACAGGCUUUCACUUAUCUAGAGGAGGAAGAUUUUGAGCCAGGGCUGCCUGACUUCAAGGCACCUGUACCUGGGUUUUAGUCAAAGCCACCCAGCUCCCCUUGGACUGAAAUGCGUGGUCCCAUCAGUUUCCAGUGGAUCCGGCUCUCAGGUGACACCCCACACUUGCCCCUCCCCACACUCACCCAGAAUUACCACCCGUCACCCCAUUACACACACACUUGGAGCCACAACCCCUAGGAGUGCUGAGAUGGUCUCUCUUUGGGACAUACACUGUUCUAAUGACUACGGAGAGCUAAUUUUCUAAUCAAAAAACAAAAAAACACCAUACAUGGAGGCUUAGUAUAUGCUAUACAUCACCAGAUUCAGAGUCUUUUUCUAAACUUAUUCCCUCCCUUUUCUCCCAAAUAAAGGAAGAGGGGCAGUUCACAACAAGGAACUGAGGCAUGGAGGGCAGAGAGGGAGAAAGUUGCGAGAACCGGGGGAUAUUGAAAAGAAUAGAGGCCAUCCAGUUCGAAGGGCCUGGAUUUCAGUUAAUCUGUUGAUCUGGGACAAGCUAUUUUUUCAUUUGUCAAAUAGGGAUAAAAAUAGUGCCGACUGGCUUAAAGAAUCAAGUAGCAUGAUGUUAUAUCUCAGGAUGUCAUAAAUAAUUUAUACACGUUAUCUCUUUUCAUGUUUUAUUCAUUUUAUAAAGGGUCGAGAAGAACAUAUGAUGGCAAUAAAAUUAUGAGGAAAAGCACAAAAUAUUAAAAGUGGGGAAAACUGCAAUCCAAGAAAAGAGAAAAGGGGGAACGAAAUGGCAACAAAGACAUGAGGAAGGUAAUAGAAUUAUUAUCAUACUAAUUGGGAGAGGAAGUCACAAUCAAGUUAGGAAAAAAAAGCAGAAAUGCAUAAACUGAUUGGGGAACGUAAGGACAGGACGCGUUGAAGAGGAAAUGUCCAGCUUGCAGCCUGCAGCCCUGCGGCCUUGCUCGGUGCACAGGGCUCAGACCGAGGAAAGAGGCGCAGGGCCCACCCGCUUUGGGUGGCUUCUGGGACUCUGAAGCCAUGCCGUCUGUGACAACAACAGACUCCAAACAGAAAAGGGACGAGAAAGGGAAGAAGCACGGUGGGGAUUUAAAUUAAAUCAGCCUCAAGUGAAUGGUCAAGGAGAAACCGCAAUAAAGAAUCAUUUACAAAUAGCCAAGAACAUAAAGUAAGUUCUUGAAGGGCGAGGGAAGAGAGGAGGGGAAGUGAAUAGUGGGCUGGAGUCCCGAGAGGAGGGCCACCAACGCAGGGUGGCCCGGGGUGAGAGAACUGGGCAGGAGUAAGAAAGACAAAAAUGGAAAGUAGACCCUGGUCUGGGAUACUUCAGGAUUUUUUUUUUUUUUUGGUCUUUUUGUUGGGAUGCUUCAGGUUUUGAGUCCCAACUCUGCCCUCGAAGGACACUGUGACUUAAGAAAGGUCACAUAAGCUCUCUGAGCCUCAAUUUCCUCCUGCAAUGUUAACAUAAGGGGACAGAGCUUGAUGAUCUAAGGAUCCCAUGAGGCACCUUUAGAAAAUUCUACCAAACUAGCUCCCCCUGAAGCCAGCUCCCUUUCUCUUUCCACUCCCAUUGCUGCCGCGUGGGGCUCUGCUCUGCGGGGAGAAAUUACGAUGCGGAAGUUGGGAGAAAAGAAAGACCAGUGAUGCUGGGACAACACAAAGCACACUGAGGAAUGAAGAAGCGAGCGGGUCAAGUUUAACAGAAGAAAAAAAAAAAAAAGGACAUUCAGAUGCAAAAAAAAAAAAAAAAAAAAANCCCACUAGGUAGCAGGCAAUGUGCCCAUAAAGGUUUCCUGUUGUUCUUAUUCCACAUUAAUCUUUAUGCCCUUGUAAAAGGUAUUUUGUAUCGAGGAUCAAAAGUAAAAUUUUAAAAGAAAAAUAUGGUGUCUGGGUGGGCAGGAGAAGGCAUGAGAGUGAGUACAUCAGGGAAGGAGGACGACAUGAUAGAAAGCUGAAACCAAAACCAGCUCAUCAGGAAAGGCAUCAAAGGCCCUGUGGAGAAGGUUCUUCCAAAAUAAAAAUCAAACCACAAAGGCCUAAAACAGAAAAGGCCUAACAAACAAGGGGGAACCUUGUGACGUUUUGAACAGGUGCGCUCAGCACAUCGGUGUGUUACAAAUGGGUCCCCGUUGUGAUUAUCUGGCCACUGGGCCACUGGCUGUAAAUGGCCUGGUCCACCACCAUCUGUGAUGUCACGACAAAAUACAAAUAAAAUAAAUAAUACUAGUAACUAUCGUCUGAGAUGGGCUGGGACCUGGCAAAGUUUGAGGAGCACUGCAAUUUUGACCACAGGAAGAAGAGAAGCAGGAAAGACCCACCUAUAAAAGCAAAACAAGAAGGAAAUUCAUAACAGAAUAAUCUGAGAGUAGCGGCAGCUGGUUCUGCUCAAAUCUACACCGGGGAGAGGGCAAGGCUCCCUGUUACAAGGGGCAGCUAAAAAUAGAUGAUGAAAUACUUAUUAUUUGAGCUGGAAGGAAUCUUAAAGGUUAAGACAGGACUUGAACACUGGUUUUGCAGGUCUGUGUGCAUGUCCGGGUCUGUGCCCUCCAGCGGGAGUGCAGGCUCCUGGCUUUGGGACAGUUCCAGGUCACAUGCGGGUUUAACGGCCUCACCGCAGAGUACACCAUGGCUGGUGGAAUGUGAACAUGUAAUUCAUGUUUGUUGAAUGAAUGAGGGAAUGAGUGCAAUUUGGUCAAACAUCCAUUUUACAAAUGUCUGGACAGGCAGUGCCGGUCCCAGGUGUCCUGGCUGCCACUUCAGGGCUCAUCACGCUCCUCUGCCAUCCAUGCUUCUUGGCUCCAUGUUUCCCACCAAGGAAUAUACACAGCACCUGGGGUGGUCCAGCAGAGGGGAGCCAACCCCAGGAGUCCCGGCUCUCUCAUCCUCUGGGAACCUCAGCAAAACCAUUUCUUUCAAAGCCCCGAUUUUCUUGUCUGUGAAAUGCUGUGCUUGGAUCAAAGCAUUUACAUGAUUUUUUAGUUGAAAGGGGCAUAUGAAACCUUAUUCUCAAGGAAAAACUCUGGUUAAGGCUGGUUUUCAAAGGAAAUCUUAAGCCAAAAUUGGCGCUGGGCCUUCUCACCCUGGCCUUCAUCAGUGAGCAUCAACUGAUGGAUGGGGCUGUACAAUGUAUGUGAACUGUAUUUAAAUUUUUUUCACACAAAGAAAAGGAUACCCUUUUUUUAAAUGUAUCUGAAAAGUGGCAUAGAGCUCUCAGGAAGGUGAAUUUGGAAGGAUUUUAGUUAUUAUCUGAACUUGGGUCAUUACAUUUUUACCGGUACACAAAAAGUAUAAUAAUUAGUUUUGGCCAGUCUUAAAUUGCAAAGCCAGCUUUCCGAUUUGCUGUCUUUCUUUAGAGCUAUGGACGAAAACACAGGUUGAAGAAGGGAAAAGCUUUCAAAGAAAUCACUGUGGAAAUCUCCAGUAUGAAAACCUCUGAUUUGCAUUGGUUUCCAAGGGAAACAACUCCUGGCCUAAUCCCUAAUCUCUCCAGACUCAGCUGCAGGGGAAAGGCCAGAGGCAGUGAAGGGACACCAUGGGAGCGAGUGUGUGCCCGGUUCCUCCCUCCUCUGGGCCCUGUCCUCCCUUCCCCUUGCUCUGCAUCUCCACAGCUCACACAAAGGCCUCGGAGGAUUAGCUGCUCCCAAAUAGCCUUAGGUAAACACCCCACCUGUCCAGAAGAUGAAAAUGCUUUUGUCUAGAGGCUUCUUACUCUCUUCCUUCUGCAAAACGAAUUCUCUAAGUUUCUUCCACAUGCAUGUUUCUUUUCUGCAAUGAACAAAAGUUGCAUGACUUCUCUUUAAUCCUCCCCUCUCUUUUUGUGACUGUCACACAAUUCUUGUCACCAACUCUUGGAAGAGAAGAAUUCAAAUCAUCUAUUUUUAGACCACAAAGUAAAAUAAGGCUUGUGCGUUCACCUGAAUUCUUAGAGAAAGACCCAUGGGUGGUUGAACAGUGGGCUAAUGUUGUCUGGCAGUCCAAUAAAUAUAAUGCACAGUAACAGACCCUUAAUUCGGAAAAGUUCUGUAUUUUGCCAUACACGGUUAUAUCAUCUGAGAUUUGGAUAGAUUUUGAGGAGUAGGAAUUAUUGACAUGAGCGUGUCAUGGGUGUUAGAGAGUUUGUGUGGCCAAGAACACACAGCUGGUGAGAAGAUGCUGGGACUCUGAUCUGAUGAUCCUACCUCCUAAUUUCAGGCUCUUUCGUUGCAGAAAGAAACGAUGUCCCUCUGUUUUUUUUUCAGUACAGAAAAGACAGAAAUGGCUUAUUUCUUUUGGAUAAGCAAUGAUAACAUUCCUUUCCUCUUCCUCCCCUUUCUUGGUUCAGUACACGCUUACCAAGGAGUGAAAGGCCUUGGGAACAUUUAUGAUGGCAACCCUUCCUCAUCUGAAGGGGACAGGAGAACGAGGGAGCAAAUUUGCUCCCCCAGUUCUGGCAGCUUUGCACUGUAUCUUUUUUUUUUUUUUCCUUUUUAGGGCCACACUAGUGGCAUGUGAAGGUUCCCAGGCUAGGGGUCUAAUCAGAGCUACAGCUGCUGGACUGCACCACAGCCACAGCAACGCAGGAUCCGAGCCACGUCUGCAACCUAUGCCACAGCUCACGGCAAUGCCGGAUCCUUAACCCACUGAGCAAGGCCAGGGAUCAAACCUGCAACCUCAGGUUUCUAGUCGGAUUCGUUUCUGCUGUGCCACAAUGGGAACUCGCACUGUAUCUUAAGGUUGCCCCCAUCUUAUGUGUUUGACCUGAAGUGUCCUGGUUCCGAAAAACCGAGCUCACCUUUCCUAUCAAGUUCCACAGACUGUAGUUACAGCAAGGAUUCCUGUCUGUGUGGAUUAACUUGCAUGUCAGAAUCUACAUCUACUGCAUCUGAUUUCCUCUAGAGGGGAGCCAGGGGAAGUGGAGUUUUCUGAAGGGAGAGAAUGCAGAUGUGAAGUGAGCAGCAGAGUAUAGUGGACUCAGUCUGAAGGGGCUGGAUCAAACAGCACCUCCAUCCAAGGAGCCACUGUAGCUCCAGAACCUCCCGUCUCCUAAAGGUCAAGCCAUGUGUGUGUGUGUGUGUGUGUGUGUGUGUGUGAGAGAGAGAGAGAGAGAGAGACACUUUGGACUCACCUAAGAAAGCAUUCUGAUUGAAAACAGAAAACCAAGAGCUUCAAAAUACAAUCUGUUUGCAUAAGAAACUUCAAGAGGAAGAUGUGCCGAAGGGAGAGAAGGCUUUCCGCAGAUUUCAGAAAACCUUCUAACAAGAAAGUGUCCGUUUUUUGACUCUCCAAGGAGCAACCAGAGUAACAGUGUCUCCAGCUGUUCCUGCCUCUGUCACGGGGGCUGCUGGGAAUGGAAUGAAGCUCCCUCCACCAAAUCCAGCCUGGGUUUUCAUUUUUUCCCCCUGCCCAUCUUCACCCAAGGCUAACCUGGCAGAGCCAAGGCUCACUUCCCUCCUACUCACUGUGGGAAAAAAAAAAAAAAACCACUCAGGCACUUUGAAAAGGUCAAAGGGGAAAGGGCAGCCGUGGGACUGAGAAGCGGGAAAGAGAAGGGAGCUUGGCAAGAAAACUAGGUCCUUAAUAAUGUGGAUGGGGUUUUGCUCUACCCUUCCAAAAUGCCCACGUCUGGAGACAGCCUGCUCUGCUGUAAAUCUGCUACUUCAAACACCGAGAAACAGGAUUGCUCUUAAUCCCUUAAACCUAAUUAUCAAAGAGACGUUUACUCACCAGCAGCCGCUCCCUUCUGCUUUCUGGUGACCGCUCAUCAUCUGUGUUCCACCACGAAGCUCAUGGUGGUGCCGUCAAAGGAGGGGGGGGCAAUGAUCCUCGGCCCCAGGGGCUGCGAAGUGAUGCUGAUGACAGGCUUACCGUGCAGCUGAGCGAAGCCCUUGGCCCCCACCAGCUGGGAUGUGGCUGCUGGAGCAGAGGAGGAAGAGGAGGCGGGAGACUGACCAGAGGCCAUGAAGUAGGGGGCCUCAGGAAACGGGGCAGCUGCCUCUUUGCUGGGGGGCUCUGCUGCCAUGGGCGAGAGCUCACCGCCCCCCGGAGUGUGAGCAAUUGGUGUGGGCUGCAGGGCGUUGGCGGGCAGCACCGUGGGCAGAAACCC
rnacentral:lncRNA from 1 species